AGUGUUCUUCACUCCACCAUCUCCACCUUCUUCCUGGUUGUCUGACACUGCUGCAGCUUGUUUUGGAACAGGCCCUUUCCUGGGAGACUGGUAUAUCCCUGCUGGUAUGUACCUCUAGCUUGGUGGUAAUUUAGCAGGACUCACCAGUGGUGAUAACCGCAUGUGCUCCUAGGGGCGGGCUAACCGGAUAGGCUUGAGCUGUUUCUCUCCCCAGAGCUUACAGGUCCUCCAGCCCUGGACUUCUGCAGCCCUCCAGAGCCCCUAACUCCUGCUACUUAGGUCUACAUUGGUUAAACAGCCCUGUGUUAAUACCAUAAAGGAAAUGCUGCUGCUACUUUGCUUUGGCUUAGCUUUUACC